GACAAACGCUGGCGGCGUGCCUAAUACAUGCAAGUAGAACGCUGAAGAGAGGAGCUUGCUCUUCUUGGAUGAGUUGCGAACGGGUGAGUAACGCGUAGGUAACCUGCCUUGUAGCGGGGGAUAACUAUUGGAAACGAUAGCUAAUACCGCAUAACAAUGGAUGACACAUGUCAUUUAUUUGAAAGGGGCAAUUGCUCCACUACAAGAUGGACCUGCGUUGUAUUAGCUAGUAGGUGAGGUAAUGGCUCACCUAGGCGACGAUACAUAGCCGACCUGAGAGGGUGAUCGGCCACACUGGGACUGAGACACGGCCCAGACUCCUACGGGAGGCAGCAGUAGGGAAUCUUCGGCAAUGGGGGCAACCCUGACCGAGCAACGCCGCGUGAGUGAAGAAGGUUUUCGGAUCGUAAAGCUCUGUUGUAAGUCAAGAACGGGUGUGAGAGUGGAAAGUUCACACUGUGACGGUAGCUUACCAGAAAGAGACGGCUAACUACGUG
rnacentral:rRNA from 1 species